CGGAUGUGCAGCCCUCCUGGAGGUGGCUCGCCAGAUGACGUCACUGUGAUCCAAGCUGAAACACACAGUCAAAUUUGUACUAUUCGACCACGAGGAGUAUGAGUUUUCCAAAUACACUCCUAAUCAAGAAUUUGGUUUACUGGGUAGUAAAUAUCUGAUAUCACACUGGCUGUUGCCAUGGAUUCAGUAGAACUACCCACAAACCGUGGGGUCAUUCAAUCCUUCUGGAAUCAUCGUCCUUGACACGGCGAUGGACAAUAACGCCAGCGCAUCGUCCCAGAUCAUACCACCUGAUGGUCUUGACAUGAUCUGAUUCGCCGAUGAUGAUUCGCCCAUUUCUGGAGGGCAUGACGAUGUCGGAACUACACGCCGUCAAGACCGGAGGAUUUGCUACAAUCUCCAAAGUCCAAAGUUGUUUCCUUACUGCAUGUAUUUAAAUAGAUACCAGCAAAUCAUUUGUUAUCGACCAUUAUGAUGAGCGCUUUGUCAGACCUCGCCAUCUCCAAGCUGUCAUAUCCGGAGGUGGAGGAAACAAAUGCGCCAAAAGAAAUCUUUAACAAACUGCACAUGUUGCGAAAACAUAUCAUCUUACGGUUGAUCUUCCACCGGUAGUUACGUUUGAGGUGUUAUGAACGUAGUACAAUUAUAUGUUUGUAUCAUAUGAAUCUGGAAAUGUUGCAAUAGUUUUGCGAUAAAAAACGUCAUCUACAAAAAAAUUAUAGUAUAAUCAUCUACAAAUAAGUAACAGAAUCAUUAAGUAAUAAAUGAAAGCUUUUUCAAACACCUACAUAUACCUGUUAGCGUAAUAUUCCUUGAACGAAAACUAAGGUAUGAAGUUAAAUAAUUUUACAUGCAAAAUAUUUUACAUUUUUACUUAAAAAAAUUAAGGACGCAUAUAUACGAAUGCCGACACACAGUCAUUUUAAUGAAUCCGAUUCAAAUCACCAGGACGGAAGAGUCAUUCCCAGUUAUCUGGUUCAAUAAUUAUGCGAUACGAGUGCACAACAUUUUUUUCCAACUGUUUCUAAACGUGCUUUGUAUUAUGAUCAUUACGUUGCCAGAAAAACAGGUUUUGUCAACCUGUUUUCUCAACAUAUGUUUUGCCUGGUACCGGACAGGAAUAUUAGUGUCGGUGUUUCGAGCAUAUCACGAGGCUGUUAUAUGUGAAUUGCGUGUAGAGAUAAAUGACUAUUGUUAUACACAAACAUUUAUUAAACGCUAAAACAUCUUACUAUAACUUAUAUUGCUCUAAGUGGUUUAAUUUGCAAUAUGUUAUAUGUCACUAUAAUUAUAUGUAAAUUUUUCUGAUUUUUUUAAAUAAUUUUUUCUCAGAUGACCGAUUACAAUUAAAAAUACACAUACAGUCUUCUAAACAACCACACCGGUCGUCAAAACGAGCAGAGAUAAUGUUUACCAGAAUACGCAACAACAAUUUAAAGUGUAAAUUAUAUAACCGGCUUUACUUCACUAAAGUGACAGGUCUUUUUGGUUAUUCCAAUGGCAGACAUCUGGAUACAAUAUACAAUCUGAGCUUAGACAACCUUACAUUGUUUUUCACUAUCUUUUGAGUUGUUGCAAUUUGAAAUGGACAUGACAAAAAGUAAAGUAUGAUGCGCGUUACUGAAUGCACAUCACGUCCUAUCUAUUAAUAGUUGCUACUCAUAUCAAUGUGAUGGUAUUGUUAAAGUCCUUAAGCAUGAACCAGUGCCAACCAAUAAAUUCGUCUUGUCUUUUGCAUAUUAUUUUAUGGUUUUAAAAUUAAUUAAGUUAUAAAAAAUAUAGAUUUUAGUUAAUAUUUAGUCCUGUUCAAAACAUUGCCAAUGCUAACUCACUAUUCAUUAAAAUGCAGUUUGAUUAUUAUGGUAAAAUAGAGAUGUAUGACAUAUUCCAAUAAUAUUAUAGUGAAUCGCAUUGCAUCCACAAUGAUUGAA